rnacentral:rRNA from 1 species
UACGUAGGGACCAAGCGUUGUUCGGAUUUACUGGGCGUAAAGGGCGCGUAGGCGGCGUGUUAAGUCAGCUGUGAAAUCUCCAAGCUUAACUUGGAACGGUCAGCUGAUACUGAUGUGCUAGAGUGCAGAAAGGGCAACCGGAAUUCUUGGUGUAGCGGUGAAAUGCGUAGAUAUCAAGAGGAACACCUGAGGCGAAGGCGGGUUGCUAGGCUGACACUGACGCUGAGGCGCGAAAGCGUGGGGAGCGAACAGG